rnacentral:rRNA from 1 species
AUUGAACGCUGGCGGCAUGCUUUACACAUGCAAGUCGAACGGCAGCGCGGGCUUCGGCCUGGCGGCGAGUGGCGCACGGGUGAGUAAUGCAUCGGAACGUGCCCAGUAGUGGGGGAUAGCCCGGCGAAAGCCGGAUUAAUACCGCAUACGACCUGAGGGUGAAAGCGGGGGACCGAAAGGCCUCGCGCUAUUGGAGCGGCCGAUGUCGGAUUAGCUAGUUGGUGGGGUAAAGGCUUACCAAGGCGACGAUCCGUAGCUGGUCUGAGAGGACGACCAGCCACACUGGGACUGAGACACGGCCCAGACUCCUACGGGAGGCAGCAGUGGGGAAUUUUGGACAAUGGGGGCAACCCUGAUCCAGCCAUGCCGCGUGCGGGAAGAAGGCCUUCGGGUUGUAAACCGCUUUUGUUCGGGAAGAAAUCCUCUGGGCUAAUACCCCGGGGGGAUGACGGUACCGGAAGAAUAAGCACCGGCUAACUACGUG